UCUUACGCACCUUAUUCAGGCUCCUGCGAAU
rnacentral:sRNA from 1 species